CGAGGAGUUUUAUUGUCCAUUUGCUCUUUCUUAAAGUUUGGUUGAGAAAUGAAAGUUUGGUAUUUAUUGAAUGAAACAGUUUGAUAUUGAAAGCGGAAGAAAAAUCUAGCCAUUUGGAAUCUUGUCUACUGACCAGUUAUUAUGAAAGCCCUCUUUAUUUUUGUGACUUUGGUGAGCGUAGUGAUUCUAGCGCUCGGACAACUGACGCCACCUCGACCUGGAGAAUUUAAUAUGAUGCGACAAGGAAUGGGAGGAGCUACAGCUCAGGGCGGAGCUGCUGCACAAGGAGGAGGAGGAGGAGGAGGAGGAGGAGCAGGAAAUGAUGAUUACCAGAUGCAACUCGCACAAUAUUGGUAUGAUAUGGCAAAUUUCUGGAGUGAUUUAGGAGAAUGGUGGAGCAACUUAUCAGAAAGAGUGCGUCGAAUAUACUCUACUUAACUGCAUUACGUUGUGAAAUAAACAAGCACGGCUCCUAUGAUGAUUAUAUAUUUGAAGCAAAGUCUUCAAUGUUCCGUGAAAAGGCUUGAAUGUGGAGAGAAUUGCCUCAUGUAUUCCAACCUAAGAAGAUUGAACAAAUGAAAACUUUUCAUGAGCAAUUUUCCAUUUAGUAUGAUUUUUGGAGUUGUUUCUGUUCAUAAAUAUUUUGACUAUU